GCAAUGGACGAAAGUCUGACCGAGCAACGCCGCGUGAGUGAAGAAGGUUUUCGGAUCGUAAAGCUCUGUUGUAAGUCAAGAACGUGUGUGAGAGUGGAAAGUUCACACAGUGACGGUAGCUUACCAGAAAGGGACGGCUAACUACGUGCCAGCAGCCGCGGUAAUACGUAGGUCCCGAGCGUUGUCCGGAUUUAUUGGGCGUAAAGGGAGCGCAGGCGGUCAGGAAAGUCUGGAGUAAAAGGCUAUGGCUCAACCAUAGUGUGCUCUGGAAACUGUCUGACUUGAGUGCAGAAGGGGAGAGUGGAAUUCCAUGUGUAGCGGUGAAAUGCGUAGAUAUAUGGAGGAACACCAGUGGCGAAAGCGGCUCUCUGGUCUGUCACUGACGCUGAGGCUCGAAAGCGUGGGUAGCGAACAGGAUUAGAUACCCUGGUAGUCCACGCCGUAAACGAUGAGUGCUAGGUGUUAGGCCCUUUCCGGGGCUUAGUGCCGGAGCUAACGCAAUAAGCACUCCGCCUGGGGAGUACGACCGCAAGGUUGAAACUCAAAGGAAUUGACGGGGGCCCGCACAAGCGGUGGAGCAUGUGGUUUAUUCGAAGCAACGCGAAGAACCU
rnacentral:rRNA from 1 species